rnacentral:rRNA from 1 species
UAGCAAUACGAUGGAAAGUUUAGUGGCGAACGGGUGCUUAACACGUGGGCAACCUGCCAGGAAGUGGGGGAUAGCUCGCCGAAAGGCGAAUUAAUACCGCAUGUGAUUAGAGAGGACAUCCUUUCGAAAUUAAAGUCGGGGCAACCUGACGCUUCUUGUGGGGCCCGCGGCCUAUCAGCUAGUUGGUGAGGUAACGGCUCACCAAGGCUUUGACGGGUAGCUGGUCUGAGAGGACGACCAGCCACACUGGGACUGAGACACGGCCCAGACACCUACGGGUGGCAGCAGUCGAGAAUUUUUGACAAUGGGGGAAACCCUGAUCGAGCGACGCCGCGUGGAGGAUGAAGGUCUUCGGAUUGUAAACUCCUGUCAUUGGGGAACAAUGCAUAAAUAUUAACUGUAUUUGUGUUGAUAGUACCCGAAGAGGAAGAGACGGCUAACUCUGUGCCAGCAGCCGCGGUAAUACAGAGGUCUCAAGCGUUGUUCGGAUUCAUUGGGCGUAAAGGGUGCGUAGGCGGCGCGGUAAGUCGGGUGUGAAAUCUCGGAGCUUAACUCCGAAACUGCAUUCGAUACUGCCGUGCUUGAGGACUGGAGAGGAGACUGGAAUUCACGGUGUAGCA